rnacentral:lncRNA from 1 species
AGCAAGUAGGGCAUUAGGCCUUCUUAUAGUAAAAUGUAAAGCACAUGGUGGCUUCCAACACAAUAUUUUCACCAAAUUGUUUGACACUUUAGUUUGGUCAGUCAUCAAUUACGGCUCAGCUAUUUGGGGUACAAGUGAGUUCUCCUGCAUCUCAGCAGUUCAGAACCGAGCCAUGAGAUUUUAUAUGGGAGUUGGAAAGUAUACUCCCAAUGAUGCUGUUUCAGGUGACAUGGGUUGGA